rnacentral:rRNA from 1 species
UACGAAGGGGGCUAGCGUUGUUCGGAAUUACUGGGCGUAAAGGGCGCGUAGGCGGUGUGUCAAGUCAGGCGUGAAAGCCCCGGGCUCAACCUGGGAACAGCGCUUGAGACUGGCACGCUCGAGUUCGGGAGAGGAUGGUGGAAUUCCCAGUGUAGAGGUGAAAUUCGUAGAUAUUCGCAAGAACACCAGUGGCGAAGGCGGCUCACGUGGCCCGGUACUGACGCUGAGGUGCGAAAGCGUGGGGAGCAAACAGG